rnacentral:rRNA from 1 species
AACGAACGCUGGCGGCGCGUCUUAAACAUGCAAGUCGAACGAUCUGUAGCAAUACAGGGAGUGGCGGACGGGUGAGGAACACGUAGGAAUCUACCUUGAAGAGCGGGACAACUUUGGGAAACCGGGGCUAAUACCGCAUAGUACAGAGAUGUUAAAGGGCUAGCAAUAGUCGCUUCGAGAUGAGCCUGCGGUCUAUCAGCUUGUUGGUGAGGUAAUGGCUCACCAAGGCUACGACGGAUAGCCGGUCUGAGAGGAUGAUCGGCCACACUGGCACUGAGACACGGGCCAGACUCCUACGGGAGGCAGCAGUUAAGAAUCUUGCGCAAUGGGGGAAACCCUGACGCAGCGACGCCGCGUGAAGGAUGAAGGCUUUCGGGUUGUAAACUUCGGUAGACUGGGAAGAAGAAAUACGUUCGUUGAGGGCGUAUAGUGACGGUACCAGUCUGAAGCCCCGGCUAAUUACGUGCCAG